AACGAACGCUGGCGGCAGGCUUAACACAUGCAAGUCGAACGCAUCCUUCGGGAUGAGUGGCAGACGGGUGAGUAACGCGUGGGAAUUUACCCAGCUCUACGGAACAACUCAGGGAAACUUGAGCUAAUACCGUAUACGCCCUUUGGGGGAAAGAUUUAUCGGAGUUGGAUGAGCCCGCGUUUGAUUAGCUAGUUGGUGGGGUAAAGGCCUACCAAGGCGACGAUCAAUAGCUGGUCUGAGAGGAUGAUCAGCCACACUGGGACUGAGACACGGCCCAGACUCCUACGGGAGGCAGCAGUGGGGAAUAUUGGACAAUGGGCGCAAGCCUGAUCCAGCCAUGCCGCGUGGGUGAAGAAGGCCCUAGGGUUGUAAAUCCCUUUCAGCGGGGAAGAUAAUGACGGUACCCGCAGAAGAAGCCCCGGCUAACUCCGUG
rnacentral:rRNA from 1 species